UACGAAGGGGGCUAGCGUUGUUCGGAUUUACUGGGCGUAAAGCGCACGUAGGCGGUUUGUUAAGUCAGGGGUGAAAUCCCGGAGCUCAACUCCGGAACUGCCUUUGAUACUGGCAAGCUAGAGUCCGGAAGAGGUAAGUGGAACUCCUAGUGUAGAGGUGGAAUUCGUAGAUAUUAGGAAGAACACCAGUGGCGAAGGCGGCUUACUGGUCCGGAACUGACGCUGAGGUGCGAAAGCGUGGGGAGCAAACGGG
rnacentral:rRNA from 1 species